rnacentral:rRNA from 1 species
UGGGGAAUAUUGGACAAUGGGGGGAACCCUGAUCCAGCCAUGCCGCGUGUGUGAAGAAGGCCCUCGGGUUGUAAAGCACUUUCAGCGAGGAAGAACGCCUAGGGGUUAAUACCCCCUAGGAAAGACAUCACUCGCAGAAGAAGCACCGGCUAACUCCGUGCCAGCAGCCGCGGUAAUACGGAGGGUGCAAGCGUUAAUCGGAAUUACUGGGCGUAAAGCGCGCGUAGGUGGCUUGAUAAGCCGGUUGUGAAAGCCCCGGGCUCAACCUGGGGACGGCAUCCGGAACUGUCAAGCUAGAGUGCAGGAGAGGAAGGUAGAAUUCCCGGUGUAGCGGUGAAAUGCGUAGAGAUCGGGAGGAAUACCAGUGGCGAAGGCGGCCUUCUGGACUGACACUGACACUGAGGUGCGAAAGCGUGGGUAGCAAACA